UACGUAGGUGGCAAGCGUUGUCCGGAAUCAUUGGGCGUAAAGCGCGUGUAGGCGGUCCGGUAAGUCCGCUGUGAAAGUCGGGGGCUCAACCCUCGAAUGCCGGUGGAUACUGUCGGGCUAGAGUGCGGAAGAGGCGAGUGGAAUUCCUGGUGUAGCGGUGAAAUGCGCAGAUAUCAGGAGGAACACCAAUUGCGAAGGCAGCUCGCUGGGACGUUACUGACGCUGAGACGCGAAAGCGUGGGGAGCAAACAGG
rnacentral:rRNA from 1 species